UGGAUGUUCUCUCAACUCGGAGAUCAGUGUCGAAGCUAACGCGUUAAGUUCGCCGCCUGGGGAGUACGGUCGCAAGACUGAAACUCAAAGGAAUUGACGGGGGCCCGCACAAGCGGUGGAGUAUGUGGUUUAAUUCGAUGCAACGCGAAGAACCUUACCUGGCCUUGACAUGUCCGGAAUCCUGCAGAGAUGCGGGAGUGCCUUCGGGAAUCGGAACACAGGUGCUGCAUGGCUGUCGUCAGCUCGUGUCGUGAGAUGUUGGGUUAAGUCCCGCAACGAGCGCAACCCUUGUCCUUAGUUGCCAGCGAGUAAUGUCGGGAACUCUAAGGAGACUGCCGGUGACAAACCGGAGGAAGGUGGGGAUGACGUCAAGUCCUCAUGGCCCUUACGGCCAGGGCUACACACGUACUACAAUGGUCGGUACAGAGGGUUGCGAAGCCGCGAGGUGGAGCCAAUCCCAGAAAGCCGAUCCCAGUCCGGAUCGAAGUCUGCAACUCGACUUCGUGAAGUCGGAAUCGCUAGUAAUCGCGGAUCAGCUAUGCCGCGGUGAAUACGUUCCCGGGCCUUGUACACACCGCCCG
rnacentral:rRNA from 1 species